rnacentral:misc_RNA from 1 species
GUGAGUCAUCGAAUCUUUGAACGCACAUUGCGCCCCCUGGUAUUCCGGGGGGCACACCUGUUCGAGCGCCAUUUCAACCCUCAAGCCCCGCUUGGUGAUGGGCCCCGCCUACGGGCGGGCCCGAAACUCGUGGGCGUCGUCGUUCGGCUCCAAGCGUAGCAAAACCCUCGCUUGGGCUCCCGGACGGAGGCCGCCCGGAACGAAUUUUUACAAGGUUGGCCUCGGAUCAGGUGGGGAUACCCGCUGAACUUAAGCAUAUCAAUAAGCGGAGGA